rnacentral:SRP_RNA from 1 species
GGCAAGGAUAGGCCGGGGCGCCAGGCGUGCCCUGUUACCCGCAAUCGUCUUGGCGGGGGCUAAAGCAAUUUUAGCGGCGGAUUUUUUUGGAAUCCUGUCUCGCGUUUCGAACAGAGACGUCUUGCCCUGUCAGGUCUUUAUUGCGCUGAAUCUGGUGAGGCCUUGAUCGGAGCAGCCAUAAGGCGUGAUUUAGGCGCUUUCAGGAUCACAGGACCGAGGUAGAUUCGUGCAGGCAGUUCUGAAGGAGUUCGUCCAUAGAAUUGCGUUCCUUGCC